GACGAACGCUGGCGGCGUGCUUAACACAUGCAAGUCGAACGGAAAGGCCCUGCUUUUGUGGGGUGCUCGAGUGGCGAACGGGUGAGUAACACGUGAGUAACCUGCCCUUGACUUUGGGAUAACUUCAGGGAACUGGGGCUCAUACCGGAUAGGAGCUCCUGCUGCAUGGUGGGGGUUGGAAAGUUUCGGCGGUUGUGGAUGGACUCGCGGCUUAUCAGCUUGUUGGUGGGGUAGUGGCUUACCAAGGCUUUGACGGGUAGCCGGCCUGAGAGGGUGACCGGCGACAUGGGGACUGAGAUACGGCGCAGACUCCUACGGGAGGCAGCAGUGGGGAAUAUUGCACAAUGGGGGGAAGCCUGAUGCAGCAACGCCGCGUGCGGGAUGACGGCCUUCGGGUUGUAAACCGCUUUCGCCUGUGACGAAGCGUGAGUGACGGUAAUGGGUAAAGAAGCACCGGCUAACUACGUG
rnacentral:rRNA from 1 species